rnacentral:rRNA from 1 species
CAGGGAAUCUUGCGCAAUGGGCGAAAGCCUGACGCAGCAACGCCGCGUGGGGGAUGAAGGCCUUCGGGUUGUAAACCCCUUUCAGGAGGGAAGAAAUUGACGGUACCUCCAGAAGAAGGACCGGCCAACUACGUGCCAGCAGCCGCGGUAAUACGUAGGGUCCGAGCGUUAUCCGGAAUCAUUGGGCGCAAAGAGCUCGUAGGCGGUUCAGCAAGUCGGCUGUGAAAGUCCGAGGCUCAACCUCGGAAUUGCAGUCGAUACUGCUGUGACUCGAGUCCGGUAGAGGAGAAUGGAAUUCCCGGUGUAGCGGUGAAAUGCGCAGAUAUCGGGAGGAACACCAGUAGCGAAGGCGGUUCUCUGGGCCGGCACUGACGCUGAGGAGCGAAAGCGUGGGGAGCAAACAGGAUUAGAUACCCUGGUAGUCCACGCCGUAAAACGUUGGAUACUAGGUGUGGCGUCGUUACCAACGACUGCCGUGCCGAAGCUAACGC